rnacentral:rRNA from 1 species
UACGAAGGGGGCUAGCGUUGCUCGGAAUCACUGGGCGUAAAGGGUGCGUAGGCGGGUCUUUUAAGUCAGGGGUGAAAUCCUGGAGCUCAACUCCAGAACUGCCUUUGAUACUGGCGAUCUUGAGUCCGGGAGAGGUGAGUGGAACUCCGAGUGUAGAGGUGAAAUUCGUAGAUAUUCGGAAGAACACCAGUGGCGAAGGCGGCUCACUGGCCCGGUACUGACGCUGAUGUGCGAAAGCGUGGGGAGCAAACAGGG